rnacentral:rRNA from 1 species
CAGCAGCCGCGGUAAUACAGAGGGUGCGAGCGUUAAUCGGAUUUACUGGGCGUAAAGCGUGCGUAGGCGGCUUUUUAAGUCGGAUGUGAAAUCCCUGAGCUUAACUUAGGAAUUGCAUUCGAUACUGGGAAGCUAGAGUAUGGGAGAGGAUGGUAGAAUUCCAGGUGUAGCGGUGAAAUGCGUAGAGAUCUGGAGGAAUACCGAUGGCGAAGGCAGCCAUCUGGCCUAAUACUGACGCUGAGGUACGAAAGCAUGGGGAGCAAACAGGAUUAAAUACCCCUGUAGUCCCUGUCUCUUAUAC